rnacentral:rRNA from 1 species
GAUGAACGCUAGCGGCAGGCCUAACACAUGCAAGUCGAGGGGCAGCACAGAAACAGCAAUGUUUUGGUGGCGACCGGCGGACGGGUGCGUAACGCGUAUGCAACCUACCUUUAACAGGGGGAUAACGGAGAGAAAUUUCCACUAAUACCCCAUAACAUCGAUCAAGGCAUCUUGAUUGGUUGAAAACUCCGGUGGUUAAAGAUGGGCAUGCGUUGUAUUAGGUAGUUGGUGAGGUAAUGGCUCACCAAGCCUACGAUACAUAGGGGGACUGAGAGGUUAGCCCCCCACACUGGUACUGAGACACGGACCAGACUCCAACGGGAGGCAGCAGUGAGGAAUAUUGGUCAAUGGGGGCAACCCUGAACCAGCCAUGCCGCGUGCAGGAAGACGGCGCUAUGAGUUGUAAACUGCUUUUAAACAGGGAUAAAGCACAGUAUGUAUACUGUGUUGAAGGUACUGUAAGAAUAAGGAUCGGCUAACUCCGUGCCAGCCGCCGCAGUAA